UCGAGGAUCUUUGGCAAUGGGCGCAAGCCUGACCAAGCGACGCCGCGUGUGCGAUGAAGGCCUUCGGGUUGUAAAGCACUGUCGAGGGGGAUAAAACCGCAAGGUUGAUAGAUCCCUGGAGGAAGCACGGGCUAAGUUCGUGCCAGCAGCCGCGGUAAGACGAACCGUGCGAACGUUGUUCGGAAUCACUGGGCUUAAAGGGCGCGUAGGCGGUUUGCCAAGUCAGGGGUGAAAUCCUGCAGCUCAACUGUAGAAGUGCCUUUGAUACUGGCGAACUCGAGGGAGAUAGGGGUGGGUGGAACUUCUGGUGGAGCGGUGAAAUGCGUUGAUAUCAGAAGGAACGCCGGUGGCGAAAGCGACCCACUGGAUCUUUUCUAACGCUGAGGCGCGAAAGCUAGGGGAGCAAACGG
rnacentral:rRNA from 1 species